rnacentral:tRNA from 1 species
AGCCUCGCGGUGUUAGACACGCCGGAUUGCAAAUCCGGAGAAGCAGGAUAAUCCCCUGCCGGGGCUU